rnacentral:lncRNA from 1 species
UGCAGGACUCAGCCUCUUUAAACCCACACUACUCUGGAGAGGAUAGUAGAUCCUACACCAUCUCUUGGUAAAAAGAAAAAGAUUGUUUAUGAAUAAUCUUCAUUUUGGUCUGCAAAGACUGGAAAAAGGAAGCAGUAGCAAGAAGAAAUUUGUAAAUAACCUCCCACUCAGAAAUAUGACUACUUUAAAAAAUCUAGGAUUUCUAAAAUCAGUGGAAAUCUGAUUUCUUGCAAAAAUAUGUAGCAGAAGUUAUUAUUCAUGGCUUUCUGAGGUAUUUCCUAUGUGACUUCUACAACCAGGAGGAGGUGUUAAAAUUUUACUAUCUCCAGCUUUGCUCCAUUAACAUUGCAGGUAACAAGCACCUACAUGGCCUAUACAAUUCAUCAUUUUAAUAUAGUUUGUACUAAUCAGAAAAUGUUUUAAUGUGGUUUUCUCAAUCAUACUUCUACCCACUGGACUUGCAUUUUCUGCUGAAUCUGAGAUUUAUCUGACUCCCAGAUACCUGUCUGUGACUAACUGCAAGAAACUAAGUAGUGACAAUAAUGAUGCUUUUUUAUGUAUCCACCCAGAGAACAGAAACAACAUCUUAUGACUGCUCUGGCCAUUCUCAGAUCAUUAAAGUCUGAAUACUGACAAUGCCUGCAAAAAUUUCAAUAAGAAAAUUGCAUUAUUCUUACUUGACAGAAUAUUCAAAAAAUAAUGACUAGGAAGAAAUUGCUAACUUUUCAUAAAUAAGAGGGGAAGACACUACAAUAGCAUAGUACUUUUUUAACAUGGUUCACUGAAUUAAUGUUUAUUUAGUACAUUAAAAAACCAUUUUUUUCAAAUUUUUGAUUUCGUAUUCAAUUUU